CUUCACAGUUGUGUGCUCAGGAGGCUCCUGGGUAUUCCGUCUGUCUGCAGCCCAAGCAGCAUGAUGCUUUCGAGGAAAAGUGCCCUUCCUGUCUGGGAACAGUUCCAAGCCACCAUUGCCUUACUGUGAAACAUGUGCCCGACCACAGGACUGGGUCAGUAAGGAAUGUUCCUGAUACACAACACACUUCUUCAGAAGUCUUUACUUCCCCAGGAUUUCAGAGUAGCCUGCUGGGUGCUCAGUGGCAACACACAGGAGAACCCACAGGAGUAAGACAGAGGAAUAUGGGUGUCUGUGUGAGAGAGAAGCUAUUCCUCUCCUGGUACCAUCUAAUUCUGCCCCAAGUUUGCAGAGAUCUGUUGUGUGCCUCCUCAAUGACUGUUUUUGGGAUGCAUAAGCCAGAGACAAGGAAACAGAAGGGUUCAGAUAAAUGA
ensembl:lncRNA